CACUGUGCACUUAAGAUGGGUUAAUUUUACUGUAUAUAAACUAUUCCUCAAAAAAGAUUUAAAACAAAAAGCUUCUGGGUGCAGUGGCUCACACCUGUAAUCCCAGCACUUUGGGAUACUGAGGUGAAAGGAUCACUUGAGGCCAGGAGUUCAAGACCAGCCUGGACAAUAUAAUGAGACUCAGUCUUUACAAACAAACAAAGAAAAAAAAGGAAAGGAAAGAAAAGAAAAACUAUAUAGAUGAGAAAUACCAACACAGAAGAUUUUCUUGAUGAUUUAUUACUUGCUUUUUUGUUGUUGUUGUCAUUUGUUAUUUGUUUUGUUCACCCAAAAGGCAGAAAGGAAAAGUUUAUAUGGGAAGAAAGAAAAAAAACAAAAGGUGUGGUUCCUGAGAUGCUCCAGAAAGAACUUUCGGUGACCUCACAUUCUGGGGACAUCCUUUGGGUGACUAGAUGGCUGGAAGGAGAGGAACAGAUACAUCGUGGCAAGAAGAGCUGACUCUGCAGAUGAAUUUCAGACAUUAAUCCAUGUGCCCGUGAUCUCUAGGAGUGUGAAUUUGGAAGACUGAAGAACUUAAAGGGAAUCCUGAACUCUUUGUAACUUGCUAAAUUCAAAUGAAGAAUUCAAAUGGGGGAAAAGAGGUCGUGUUUAGGUACGCCCAUCUCUGCUGCUUGAGAGGCUCAGGG